UGGGGAAUUUUGCACAAUGGGGGAAACCCUGAUGCAGCGACGCCGCGUGAUUUAGAAGGCCUUCGGGUUGUAAAAAUCUUUUUUAUGGGAUGAAAAUGACAUUACCAUACGAAUAAGGUCCGGCUAAAUACGUGCCAGCAGCCGCGGUAAUACGUAUGGACCGAGCGUUGUCCGGAAUCAUUGGGCGUAAAGGGUACGUAGGCGGCCCAGUAAGUUAGAAGUGAAAUAAUAUAGCUCAACUAUAUAAAGCUUUUAAAAGUGCUAGGCUUGAGAGAUGGAAGGGGAAGAGGAAUUCCUAGUGUAGCGGGGAAAUGCGCAGAAAUUAGGAAGAAUACCGGUGGCGAAGGCGACUUUCUGGACAUCAUCUGACACUGAAGUACGAAAACGUAGGUAGCAAACGGG
rnacentral:rRNA from 1 species